rnacentral:lncRNA from 1 species
AUACUGAGAUGUGGGAUGUAAGAAAGGCCUGGCCAGGUGAGCUGGCUCGGUGAGAAAAUAUGCUUGCUGCCAAAGCCAACGGCCUAAAUUCAUCCCUGGGUGGCGUUCUGAUUUGGGGCAGAGUGAGGGUGAAAGUGAAGGCAGUACAUGCUAACCUCUUGAAAAAUGUUUAUGACUAAUAAUUGUUCUCUCACAUCUGUAGGUGAGAAACAUUGAUAUGUAUUUUCUGUGGUUUGGUAUAGUUAAAGGAUCUCUGUUACAAUAGUUCCCUGUAGAAAAAAAAUGGUACAUAACCAGUAUCUUAGUUGAAUUUAUAUUUUCAUAAAAUUAAACAUUACUUUUUUUUUUUUUUUGUGGUUUUUCAAGACAGGGUUUCUCUUUAUAGCUCUGGCUGUCCUGGAACUCACUCUGUAGACCAGGCUGGCCUCGAACUCAGAAAUUCACCUGCCUCUGCCUCCCGAGUGCUGGGAUUAAAGGUGUGCGCCACCACGCCCGGCAAACCAUUACUUUUUAUAUGUGUGAUUUGAAUACAUUUCCUAGUUUUGACAUGAUUGUAAGGAGUUACCUGUUGCUUAUAAAACUCACUUUAGAUUUUUAUGAAAAGUUUUAUAUUUGUCUGGCUUUAUUCUCUAGAGUCAUUUCACAUUUCCCCCUCAUACAAGUACCUACCAAGUCACAUGUGAAAAAUGCCACAAUUAAACCUGAUUUUUGAUACUGCCGGCUUCGGGCUUUAAUAAAGCAUAUAUGCUUUAGCAUAGUCUUGUAAUUUUUAAAAAAUAAAAAAUGGAGCAUUUACUUUUAUAUUUUAUCCAAUUACGAAUUUUCUUUCUAUCUACACAAAUUUUUAUUUCCUCUUGAGCACUGCAGAAUUUUAUAGAAAGUGUAUUUAUUCUUGAACUAACUCUUUUGCUAUUUAUUGUAUUGAUUAGAGAGAGAGAUUGCAUGAUGUUCUCAGGGUACAGAGGAAGGCUGUCUGUGGGAGGACAGAGAGGAGUAACCAACACCAGCUUCAUUCAUCGCCCACCUCAGAAUGGAGACAAACAUGGACACCUGAAAUUUGUUUCAAAUGGUAGUCACUUUUUUUUUUUUUUUUUUUCUGUUUGAAAGACAUCCUUUGAAGGAUCCUUGGGAUCCAGACAAUACAGCAAUGGUCUUUAUCUGUGUAGCCUCCUGCUUUGCUAGUGUAAGGUAGUUUAGAGAGAAGUGUUUUCAGGCUCCGCUUCCCUGACUCCACCCUAUCCGAAGCUCCUCGGUACCCUCUCCCUUCAGAGAUGGCUGGUCACCUAGCUCUGCCCUCUUUUCCGUCUUUUCCGUCUUUUCCGUAUUCUGCUUUGAGUCAGCGAGCCUGACACCUCUUCUCCGUGUCCCAUGAGUCGCGUUUAUCAGAAUCCCUCAAAUUUUGCUGGACAUUCUGUUCUUUCUCCAUUUACCUUAGUAAACCCAUCUGCACUCUUAAUUUGAACUAAAUUUUAUAUGAUUUAUUUUCGAAUCUUGGAUUAUUGUCUUUAAAAUUUUAAAAUAAACUUUAUUGUAAAAAAC